rnacentral:rRNA from 1 species
CCCUUAGAUGUUCUGGGCCGCACGCGUGCUACACUGAGUGGAUCAGCGGGUCAGGUUGCGCGAAAGUGUUUCCUACUCUUGAAAUCCGCUCGUGAUGGGGAUUGACGGUUGCAAUUUUCCGUCAUGAACGAGGAAUACCUUGUAAGCGCGGGUCAUCAUCCCGCGCUGAAUACGUCCCUGCCCUUUGUACACACCGCCCGUCGCUCCUACCGAUUGAGUGGUCCGGUGAGGCUUUGGGAUCUGAGCGGAAAGAGCGUUUCGCUGUUUCUGCUCGGAAAACUCAGUCGAACCUUAUCAUUUAGAGGAAGGAGAAGUCGUAACA